rnacentral:tRNA from 1 species
GAAGGUGUAGCGCAGCGGUAGAGCGCGUGCUUAGCACGCACGAAGUCCUGGGUUCAAUCCCCAGUACCUCUG